rnacentral:rRNA from 1 species
CCUACGGGACGCACCAGUGGGGAAUAUUGCACAGUGGGCGCAAGCCUGAUGCAGCCAUGCCGCGUGUAUGAAGAAGGCCUUCGGGUUGUAAAGUACUUUCAGCGAGGAGGAAGGCAUUAAGGUUAAUAACCUUAGUGAUUGACGUUACUCGCAGAAGAAGCACCGGCUAACUCCGUGCCAGCAGCCGCGGUAAUACGGAGGGUGCAAGCGUUAAUCGGAAUUACUGGGCGUAAAGCGCACGCAGGCGGUCUGUCGGGUCGGAUGUGAAAUCCCCGGGCUCAACCUGGGAACUGCAUUCGAAACUGGCAGGCUAGAGUCUUGUAGAGGGGGGUAGAAUUCCAGGUGUAGCGGUGAAAUGCGUAGAGAUCUGGAGGAAUACCGGUGGCGAAGGCGGCCCCCUGGACAAAGACUGACGCUCAGGUGCGAAAGCGUGGGGAGCAAACAGGAUUAGAUACCCCGGUAGUCA